rnacentral:rRNA from 1 species
UACGUAGGGUGCGAGCGUUAAUCGGAAUUACUGGGCGUAAAGGGUGCGCAGGCGGUUAUAUAAGACAGAUGUGAAAUCCCCGGGCUCAACCUGGGAACUGCGUUUGUGACUGUAUGACUAGAGUACGGUAGAGAGGGGUGGAAUUCCUGGUGUAGCAGUGAAAUGCGUAGAUAUCAGGAGGAACAUCGAUGGCGAAGGCAGCCCCUUGGACCUGUACUGACGCUCAUGCACGAAAGCUAGGGGAGCAAACAGG